GGGGAUGUGGCGGAAUUGGUAGACGCGCUAGCUUCAGGAGCUAGUGGUAGCAAUACCGUGAGAGUCCGAGUCUCUCCAUCCCCA
rnacentral:tRNA from 1 species